ACGAACGCUGGCGGCGUGCCUAAUACAUGCAAGUAGAACGCUGAAGGAGGAGCUUGCUUCUCUGGAUGAGUUGCGAACGGGUGAGUAACGCGUAGGUAACCUGCCUGGUAGCGGGGGAUAACUAUUGGAAACGAUAGCUAAUACCGCAUAAGAGUAGAUGUUGCAUGACAUUUGCUUAAAAGGUGCAAUUGCAUCACUACCAGAUGGACCUGCGUUGUAUUAGCUAGUUGGUGGGGUAACGGCUUACCAAGGCGACGAUACAUAGCCGACCUGAGAGGGUGAUCGGCCACACUGGGACUGAGACACGGCCCAGACUCCUACGGGAGGCAGCAGUAGGGAAUCUUCGGCAAUGGACGGAAGUCUGACCGAGCAACGCCGCGUGAGUGAAGAAGGUUUUCGGAUCGUAAAGCUCUGUUGUAAGAGAAGAACGAGUGUGAGAGUGGAAAGUUCACACUGUGACGGUAUCUUACCAGAAAGGGACGGCUAACUACGUG
rnacentral:rRNA from 1 species